CUCCCUCACAUCCUCGUCAACAAAAGCCUUAGAAGAUUCACCCAAGAACAUAAGCCCAUUACCUCUGACAGUAGCUUCAUCGACGCCAUCCUGAAGCCCGAGUAUCAUAUUCAUUGCGACUCCUUCAGAAAGUUCAUGUAAAGACACAUGAACACCCUUUGAACGACCAUCGUUACCAUGCUCCUCAUCACGAUAUUCAGCCAUGGAUUUGCUCUCUAGGAGAGCAUCUAACUUCAUAAGGGUCUUACUAGAUCCUUCAAUAUGAAAAACUUCUUCACCUAGAGACUCAACAUUAGUCUUUUUGUUUAUGUGACCUCCAUCCUCAUGAACCAAAUUCGGUAUAAA
rnacentral:lncRNA from 1 species